ACCAUCCUCCAAGGCUAAAUACUACUGACUGACCGAUAGUGAACUAGUACCGUGAGGGAAAGGCGAAAAGAACCCCUGUGAGGGGAGUGAAAUAGAUCCUGAAACCGUAUGCGUACAAGCAGUGGGAGCAGACUUUGUUCUGUGACUGCGUACCUUUUGUAUAAUGGGUCAGCGACUUAUUUUCAGUGGCGAGCUUAACCGAAUAGGGGAGGCGUAGCGAAAGCGAGUCUUAAUAGGGCGUCUAGUCGCUGGGAAUAGACCCGAAACCGGGCGAUCUAUCCAUGGGCAGGU
rnacentral:rRNA from 13 species